ACGUGGUAAGUGGACUGAGGUGGCAUGUGCUGGUUGGUCUAUCUGGUGUGCAGAGGAUUAANGACAUGGCAUCAUUUGGAUGGUUGGAUCUAUUAGUGGGUGAAUGCCACAUGGCAUAAUCUGAUGAAGUCUAACUUAGGAAUGGUAGGAGGUGUGUGUAUAGUGAAUUAUGGGGUGUAGGCGAAAAUGGUUUCUGUUGGGCUUUAGUAAUGGCUUGGUUUAGAAUUGGGGGUGCAUGUAGGGAAAUCUGGGGGUACAAGGGUAAAAAUUGCCUAUUUGGCCCAUCUGGACAUUAUUUAUCAAAUAAAAUCUGAUUUUGGGCUUUAAAUUGCAAUUUGGACCAAUAAAACUCUAAUUUCAGCUGCACAAAUAAAUAUUAGAACAUCCAAGAAUAAUUUAUGCAAUUAAAAUAACUUUUUAAGCCCUUUUUAUUUCCAAACACACUAAAUCUAAUAAU
rnacentral:lncRNA from 1 species